rnacentral:rRNA from 1 species
UACAGAGGUCUCAAGCGUUGUUCGGAUUCAUUGGGCGUAAAGGGUGCGUAGGUGGCGUCGUAAGUCGGGUGUGAAAUUUCGGAGCUUAACUCCAGAACUGCCUUUGAUACUGGCGAUCUCGAGUCCGGGAGAGGUGAGUGGAACUGCGAGUGUAGAGGUGAAAUUCGUAGAUAUUCGCAAGAACACCAGUGGCGAAGGCGGCUCACUGGCCCGGUACUGACGCUGAGGUGCGAAAGCGUGGGGAGCAAACAGG